rnacentral:misc_RNA from 1 species
UUAAGUUCAGCGGGUAUCCCUACCUGAUCCGAGGUCAAAAGUGAUAAAAUGACUUGUUGGAUGCCUCUACCUGAGCUUGAAUCGCGACUUGUGCUGCGCUUCAAACCAAAAUACUGGCUGCCAAUUACUUUAAGGCGAGUCCCUUCCCAGGGGAAGAAGGACAAACACCCAAAACCAAGCAAAGCUUGAGGGUACAAAUG